AACCAACGCUGGCGGCGUGCCUCAGACAUGCAAGUCGAACGAUUAAAGCUCUCUUCGGAGAGUGUAUAGAGUGGCGCACGGGUGAGUAACACGUAAGUAAUCUACCUUUGAGUGGGGAAUAACAUCGGGAAACCGAUGCUAAUACCGCAUAAUGCAGCGGCAUCGCAAGAUGACAGUUGUUAAAGAUUUAUCGCUUGAAGAGGAGCUUGCGGCAGAUUAGCUAGUUGGUAAGGUAAUGGCUUACCAAGGCUACGAUCUGUAACCGGUCUAAGAGGACGGUCGGUCACACUGACACUGAAUAACGGGUCAGACUCCUACGGGAGGCAGCAGUCGGGAAUUUUGGGCAAUGGGCGAAAGCCUGACCCAGCAACGCCGCGUGAAGGAUGAAGUA
rnacentral:rRNA from 1 species